rnacentral:rRNA from 1 species
UACGUAGGGUGCAAGCGUUGUCCGGAAUUAUUGGGCGUAAAGAGCUCGUAGGCGGUUUGUCACGUCUGCUGUGAAAACUCGGGGCUUAACUCCGGGCCUGCAGUGGGUACGGGCAGACUAGAGUGCGGUAGGGGAGACUGGAAUUCCUGGUGUAGCGGUGAAAUGCGCAGAUAUCGGGAGGAACACCAAUGGCGAAGGCAGCUCGCUGGGACGGUACUGACGCUGAGACGCGAAAGCGUGGGGAGCAAACAGG